rnacentral:rRNA from 1 species
AUUGAACGCUGGCGGCAGGCCUAACACAUGCAAGUCGAGCGGAUGAAGGGAGCUUGCUCCUGGAUUCAGCGGCGGACGGGUGAGUAAUGCCUAGGAAUCUGCCUGGUAGUGGGGGAUAACGUCCGGAAACGGGCGCUAAUACCGCAUACGUCCUGAGGGAGAAAGUGGGGGAUCUUCGGACCUCACGCUAUCAGAUGAGCCUAGGUCGGAUUAGCUAGUUGGUGGGGUAAAGGCCUACCAAGGCGACGAUCCGUAACUGGUCUGAGAGGAUGAUCAGUCACACUGGAACUGAGACACGGUCCAGACUACUAAGGGAGGCAGCAGUGGGGAAUAUUGGACAAUGGGCGAAAGCCUGAUCCAGCCGUGCCGCGUGUGUGAAGAAGGUCUUCGGAUUGUAAAGCACUUUAAGUUGGGAGGAAGGGCAGUAAGUUAAUACCUUGCUGUUUUGACGUUACCAACAGAAUAAGCACCGGCUAACUUCGUG